rnacentral:lncRNA from 1 species
CCUGCGUAUAGGUAUAGGUGGACUGGGCUCAGCUGUUGUUGGUUGUUUCAAUGGAAUAUCAGGUACUGCAUUUGGAGUUUUGGCUUCAUGGUAGGACAUCCCUCGAGAUUCUUCUUAACUUCUGGGUCACGAUCGUAACAAACAUUUGUAAAGUGGGCGGAACAAAGUCUAUGACUAGUGCUUGGUAGGAAGUCCUAUCUCUUCCUGGGUUAGAUGAUGAUCUACCGCGAGAAACGAAAAAAAA